UUUAAAAUUUAGACACAUUAAAACUUAUUGCUUGGUGUGUUCAUGUAUUUUAAAAUCUGGUAAUAAAAACUGAAUAUGGUUUAGAAUUUUUUUGAACUAAGGUCCUUGGAAGCUUCAUUGCUUUUGCAAGAAUCUGAAAACCCAUUAUGAAUGGCAGGUUAUUGAUGACUGACUAUCUAUUUUGAUUGGUAAGUUACACACGCACACACACCCAGUGGGUCUCGAACCCAGUAUUCAGGACCUCAUCCUCCGUCCCUUUAUUAUGAGAGGAGGAAGUGCCAAUUGAGCUAUAGCUAAUUGGUUGAUGACUGACUAACUUUUAUAAUUGAAAACUUAAUAGAAAAGUUACAAUUGAGCUUGGCUUAAAAGCAGUCCAGUUUGACGUUUUACAUUUAAUUUUUAUCGGAAGUUGACACUAGGGGUGCCCAGCUUGAUAAGCUAACAAUUAUUUAUUUUAAUUGUGUUACAAUUCUUGCAAGUAUAAUCGAUUUCUUCUGCUCCCCCCCUUUUUGGCCUCUUUUUCUUGUUAAUUUUUCUUCAUGGGGAAAUAAAUUUUACCUAACAUAUGCUUGAGUUGUUAUUGUACAAUCAAUGGAUGAUUGACUUGUUCUUUUUUAUUAUUAGUAUGGGGACCUUGUUAUUCAUUCCCUAAGCCCCUAGUAGUUUUCCUAUCAACUCUAAUUCAUCUUAUCAAGCUUUUAGUUCUUUAGAACAAAUCAGAUUUUGCCCUGAUUAGUUAUGUUUGAUAAAUUUACAGAAACCCCGUCCAAAGGAUAGAUUUGACUCAAGAACUAAUACGAUGAAUGAUGGAGUAAAAUUCAAGGACUAAACCUAUUGGAGGCCAGCUUAAUAACCUGCAUCAUUUGACACACCUGCAAGAAUGUCAGCUACAAUAACAUUCAGGGUGAAAUUCCAUAUAGCUUACCUCCCAAUGCCACGAAUAUAAAUAUGGCAUACUACUAUUUGAGACAAAAUAUUCCCCACUCUCUACCAGCCAUGAAAUGUCUCUAACAUCAAAAUCUAAACCACAAUUAGUUAUCUGGACCAAUUGACAAUGUCUUUACCGGCUUAUAGAAUCUCAGAGAAAUGUACGUGUUCUUCACCUGAUCCUUACAUUUCCUUUUCCCUGGCGUUUGAAGUGAAAAGAAAAUAAUGCAAAGUACAAUAUUCCAUGAAAUACAAAGAGGAUGUUGUUGAUGCUAGUAGAACCUUGAGAGGGUAUGAAGUUGGUGAUGAUCUUGAUGAAGGUAUGUAGCAAAUUAUGCAGCAAACAAGAACUCUCCAAAUACCUUUUAGUGUACAAGGAUUGGCUAUUGUAAAUACUUUUAAGUGUACUAUUCAAAACAGGUUUUGUGUAGCAAGUAGUGAUUCAUGUUUCAAAUUUAAAAAUGUAAAGGGUAAUAGACAGAGUAGUUGAGUUAUGUUGAUUUGUACAAUUUGUUUCAUUGUGUUAAAAUAGUAGUUGAUUGGUUGUUGUAAUUCAA